rnacentral:rRNA from 1 species
AGAGGGGUGCGAGCGUUAAUCGGAAUUACUGGGCGUAAAGGGCGCGUAGGUGGGUGAAUAAGUUGGGUUGUGAAAUUCCUGAGCUUAACUUGGGGAGGUCAAUCAAGACUAUUGAUCUAGAGUACGGUAGAGGGAAGUAGAAUUUCCGGUGUAGCGGUGAAAUGCGUAGAGAUCGGAAGGAAUAUCGGUGGCGAAGGCGGCUUCCUGGACUGAUACUGACACUGAGGCGCGAAAGCGUGGGUAGCGAACAGGAUUAGAUACCCUGGUAGUCCACGCUGUAAACGAUGAGAACUAGCCGUUGGGACCUUAGAGGUUUUAGUGGCGCAGCAAACGCGAUAAGUUCUCCGCCUGGGGAGUACGGCCGCAAGGUUA